rnacentral:rRNA from 1 species
GGUCAAGCUUUAAAGGGCUUACGGUGGAUGCCUUGGCGCUAAGAGACGAUGAAGGGCGUAGCAGGCUGCGAAAAGCCUCGGGGAGCCGCCAACAGGCGUUGAUCCGUGGAUACCCGAAUCGGCAAACCGGUUACAAGUGAACUUGUAACAUCCGUCACUGAAUUCAUAGGUGAUGGAAGAUAACCGGGGGAAUUGAAACAUCUCAGUACCCUGAGGAAAAGAAAUCAAAAGAGAUUCCCCAAGUAGUGGCGAGCGAAAAGGGAACAACCUAAACCGGAUGUAUGUCAAGCUUGCAUGCGUUGUGCAUUCGGUGUUGCAGGGCUUGGUCGGUUGAAUAUGCAAAUUCAACGGAGAGUUACAAAGGUAUGUCUUAGCCGAAGGGUAUGGAAAUACCCACCAUAGACGGUGACAGUCCGGUAGGCAAAAAGAUAUACCCUCUCUGGAUCAGGUUCCUAAGUACCACGGGACCCGUGAAAUCCCGUGGGAAUCCGGGAAGACCACUUUCCAAGGUUAAAUACUACUUAGCGACCGAUAGUGCACAAGUACCGUGAGGGAAAAGUGAAAAGAACCCCUGUGAGGGGAGUGAAAUAGAACCUGAAACCGUAAGCCUACAGGCAGUGGGAGCGCAAUGCCCCGGGUAACCGGGGAAAGCGUAACCGCGUACCUUUUGUAUAAUGAGCCGACGAGUUACUAUGCGCAGCAAGGUUAAGCUCCUUGAGGAGCGAAGCCGUAGCGAAAGCGAGUCUGAAUAGGGCGAUUAGUUGCGUAGAGUAGACCCGAAGCCAGUCGAUCUACCCAUGGUCAGGAUGAAAUCCCGAUAACACGGGAUGGAGGUCCGAACGAGUUAACGUUGAAAAGUUAUUCGAUGAACUGUGGAUAGGGGUGAAAGGCUAAACAAGGCUGGCGAUAGCUGGUUCUCCCCGAAAUAUAUUUAGGUAUAGCCUUGCAAGGUAGUGAGCGGAGGUAAGGCACCGGAUGGACUAGGGGGCUUACCAGCCUACCAAAUCCAACCAAUCUCUGAAUGCCGCUCAUGGUAUUGCAGGAGUCAGACAGUGGGUGAUAAGAUCCAUUGUCGAGAGGGAAAGAACCCAGACCACCAGAUAAGGUCCCAAAAUAUAGGCUAAGUGGAGAAGGUUGUGAGAUUACUUAGACAGCCAGGAGGUUGGCUUAGAAGCAGCCAUCCUUUAAAGAAAGCGUAACAGCUCACUGGUCAAGUGAUCUUGCGCCGAAAAUCCAACGGGGCUCAAGCCUAUUACCGAAGCUGUGGAUUAUGAGCAAUCAUAAUGGUAGGGGAGCGUUCCAUACAGGAGUGAAGGUAGACCGUUAGGACUACUGGACCGUAUGGAAGUGAGUAUGUCGGCAUAAGUAACGAUAAAACGGGUGAGAAACCCGUUCGCCGUAAACCUGAGGUUUCCCGAGGAAGGGUAAUCCACUCAGGGUUAGUCGGUCCCUUAGCCGAGGCCGAGAGGCGUAGGUGAUGGAAAACAGGCUAAUAUUCCUGUACCACCUUUGUAUCGCUAUCACGAUGGGGUGACGCAGGAGGGUAAGUUAUCCGGGUGAUGGAUGUCCCGGUUCAGAAGUGUAGGGGGGUAUCACUGGCAAAUCCGUGAUACCGUUAUCUCCGAGGCUGAUGAGGCACCAAUCCUACGGGGGAGGUGUAACUAACUGAUCCCACACUGCCAAGAAAUAACCUCUAAGGAGAGACAAGGGUGACCGUACUAUAAACCGACACAGGUGGGUGAGGAGAAAAUCCUAAGGCGCUUGAGAGAACCCUGGUUAAGGAACUCAGCAAACUAGCUCCGUAACUUCGGAAUAAGGAGUGCCUUCUGUAGGUAGAGGGGUUCGCCCCCCGAGCCGAAGAAGGUUGCAGAGAAAUGGCGGCUGCGACUGUUUAUUAAAAACACAGGACUAUGCUAAGUCGUAAGACGAUGUAUAUGGUCUGACGCCUGCCCGGUGCCGGAAGGUUAAGGGGAGGGGUUAGCCGUAAGGCAAAGCUCUAAACCGAAGCCCCGGUAAACGGCGGCCGUAACUAUAACGGUCCUAAGGUAGCGAAAUUCCUUGUCGGGUAAGUUCCGACCUGCACGAAUGGCGUAACGCUGGCCGCGCUGUCUCGACCAGGGACUCAGUGAAAUUGAUCUUCCGGUGAAAACGCCGGAUACCCGCGACAGGACGGAAAGACCCCGUGCACCUUUACUAUACCCUGGUAUUGGAUUUUGGGUCAAUAUGUGUAGCAUAGGUGGGAGACUUUGAAACCUUGACGCUAGUCUCGGUGGAGUCACCAGUGAAAUACCACCCUUAUUGUUCUGGAAUUCUAACCUCGCUCCGUAAUCCGGAGCAGGGACAGUGCUAGGCGGGUAGUUUGACUGGGGCGGUCGCCUCCCAAAGAGUAACGGAGGCGCACGAAGGUUCCCUCAGGCUGAUUGGAAACCAGCCAUCGAGUGUAAAGGCAUAAGGGAGCUUGACUGCGAGACAUACAAGUCGAGCAGGUGCGAAAGCAGGUCUUAGUGAUCCGGUGGUUCUGUGUGGAAGGGCCAUCGCUCAACGGAUAAAAGGUACGCCGGGGAUAACAGGCUUAUCUCCCCCAAGAGUCCAUAUCGACGGGGAGGUUUGGCACCUCGAUGUCGGCUCAUCGCAUCCUGGGGCUGAAGCAGGUCCCAAGGGUUGGUCUGUUCGCCCAUUAAAGCGGUACGUGAGCUGGGUUUAAAACGUCGUGAGACAGUUUGGUCCCUAUCCGUCGUGGGCGCAGGAUAUUUGAGAGGAUUCGUCCCUAGUACGAGAGGACCGGGAUGAACGAACCUCUGGUGAUCCAGUUGUUCUGCCAAGGGCAUAGCUGGGUAUCUAUGUUCGGACCAGAUAACCGCUGAAAGCAUCUAAGUGGGAAACUGACCUCAAGAUUAGAUAUCCUUCUCAUAUGGGCAACUAUAUGAGGUAAGACCCCUUGUAGACUACGAGGUUGAUAGGCUGGGUGUGGAAGUGCGGUAACGCAUGUAGCUAACCAGUACUAAUCGGUCGAUCGCUUGACCAU